UCAGGAAGCUGAAUCUGAGUGUUUUCACAAUGACUCUGGCUCCACUACUCCUUGUCCUCCUUUAUCACUUAGCAGGGUCAUGGGGCCAGUUUCAACUGACUCAGCCAAACUCUGUGUCAGGGUCCCCAGGAAGCACAAUCAGCCUCCCCUGCAAGCGCAGCAGUGGUAACAUUGGAAACAGCUAUGUGUACUGGUACCAGCAGCACUUUGGAAGAUCUCCCACUCUUGUGAUAUAUAAUGAUGAUAAGAGACCAUCCGGGAUUCCUGAUCGGUUCUCUGGCUCCAUUGACAGCUCCUCCAACUCAGCUUCCCUGACGAUCAGUAACCUGCAGGCAGAGGAUGAGGCUGACUAUUUCUGUCAAUCUAGUGGCUAUAGUCACAGUGAUGUGAACCAUAGAGAAAGUGAGACAAAAACUCCCCAAAGCACCAGCUGUGAAAUCUCUUGUUAA